AGCUUGCAGGAUGUACCACAUGUUAAGAGGGUCUUAGGCUACCUGUAUACAAGUAAUUUUCAAUGCUUUUCAUCUAAGUCUAAAAGCUGACCCAUCCUUUAAAAGUAUGUGCUCAGUAAGUCACCAGAAAGUGGCAUGGAGCAGAGGAUUGUUUAAUUAGGGGUGCUGAGUCACUUUGGGGACCUGGAGGCUCUGUCUUUGACUAGGCAAAGUGUUUGCUCCAAGCCUUUCCUCUGCCCAAAUCUGUGAAGAUCUAGUUGCACCUUGGAACUUUCAGCACCAAGGCGCCAAGUGAACUGCCAUGAACAACAAGAUAUGCACAACACCCACCAGGCAUGCAUGUGCUCUCUCUGAGCACUGGUGCAGACCCACCCAGGGCAAAUGCAGACUGUCUUCAUGCGGAGAUAUCACCUGCAGGUGCAUGGGUUGCCCUUGGAUACUGCUGUAACAAGAUUUCUUUUCUCCAAAGACAGAAAGGCUGGAUUGUGGUUCCACAAAUGAUGAGACUGCUGUAAGGAAAAUGUAGAGGAAAUACUGCAAGACAUUCACAUAGGCAGAGUUUUGGAAAAAAUCCCAAAGCCCAAGCAACAAAAACCCAACUGGAAAAUUGAGAUUAUACCAAACUGAAAGGAGACAACAAAGUUAAAAGAUAACCUGCAACAGGUUUCCAAGGGGAUUAACCUCCAACUGAAUUGAAGGGGGACAGCCCAUGCUCCAGCCUGUGUUCUACUUCAGAAUCCUUCUCAACACUGCUCCAGGCAGCAACUGGCCAUCAGCAGGACUUGGCCCUGAAGUUGAGACCUCUACGACAGCCUUUCUUUAGGCUAAUGGUCCAGUACUGGAC
ensembl:lncRNA